UUCUAGCCCCGAUAGAAGUGAAAAUCCUUUUGUGUCUCGUUUCUUUAACGAGACACAAAAGAUUGCAACGAAUAGCGGGAAUCAGC
rnacentral:sRNA from 1 species